rnacentral:rRNA from 1 species
UACGAAGGGGGCUAGCGUUGUUCGGAAUCACUGGGCGUAAAGCGCGCGCAGGCGGCGCAUCGCGCCCGGCGUGAAAGCCCCCGGCUCAACCGGGGAGGGUCGUCGGGGACGGGUGCGCUUGAGGACGGCAGGGGCAGGUGGAAUUCCCGGUGUAGUGGUGAAAUGCGCAGAGAUCGGGAGGAACACCCGUGGCGAAGGCGGCCUGCUGGGCCGAUCCUGACGCUGAGGCGCGAAGGCGUGGGGAGCGAACGGG